UACGGAGGGGACUAGCGUUGUUCGGAAUUACUGGGCGUAAAGCGCACGUAGUCGGAUUUGUAAGUCAGGGGUGAAAUCCCGGGGCUCAACCUCGGAACUGCCUUUGAUACUGCAAAUCUUGAGUCCGGAAGAGGUGAGUGGAAUUCCUAGUGUAGAGGUGAAAUUCGUAGAUAUUAGGAAGAACACCAGUGGCGAAGGCGGCUCACUGGUCCGGUACUGACGCUGAGGUGCGAAAGCGUGGGGAGCAAACAGG
rnacentral:rRNA from 1 species